AUUGAACGCUGGCGGCAUGCCUUACACAUGCAAGUCGAACGGCAGCACGGGAGCUUGCUCCAUGGGUGGCGAGUGGCGGACGGGUGAGGAAUACGUGGGAAUCUGCCCAGUCGUGGGGGAUAACGUAGGGAAACUUACGCUAAUACCGCAUGCGCCCUUCGGGGGAAAGCCGGGGACCUUCGGGCCUGGCGCGAUUGGAUGAGCCCACGUCGGAUUAGCUAGUUGGCGGGGUAACGGCCCACCAAGGCGACGAUCCGUAGCUGGUCUGAGAGGAUGAUCAGCCACACUGGAGCUGAGACACGGUCCAGACUCCUACGGGAGGCAGCAGUAGGGAAUAUUGGACAAUGGGCGCAAGCCUGAUCCAGCCAUGCCGCGUGAGUGAAGAAGGCCUUCGGGUUGUAAAGCUCUUUUGUCCGGAAAGAAAAGCUUCGGGUUACUACCCUGGAGUCCUGACGGUACCGGAAGAAUAAGCACCGGCUAACUUCGUGCCAGCAGCCGCGGUAA
rnacentral:rRNA from 1 species